UGCCAGACUCCUACGGGAGGCAGCAGUGAGGAAUAUUGGUCAAUGGCCGAGAGGCUGAACCAGCCAAGUCGCGUGAGGGAAGACGGCCCUACGGGUUGUAAACCUCUUUUGUCGGGGAGCAAAGUGAGUCACGUGUGACUCAUUGAGAGUACCCGAAGAAAAAGCAUCGGCUAACUCCGUGCCAGCAGCCGCGGUAAUACGGAGGAUGCGAGCGUUAUCCGGAUUUAUUGGGUUUAAAGGGUGCGUAGGCGGGCUUUUAAGUCAGCGGUAAAAAUUCGGGGCUCAACCCCGUCCGGCCGUUGAAACUGGGGGCCUUGAGUGGGCGAGAAGAAGGCGGAAUGCGUGGUGUAGCGGUGAAAUGCAUAGAUAUCGCGCAGAACCCCGAUUGCGAAGGCAGCGUGCCGUGCCGCCACUGACGCUGAGGCACGAAAGCGCGGGGAUCGAACAGGAUUAGAUACCCCCGUAA
rnacentral:rRNA from 1 species